GCUCCGUUGGUGAACCAGCGGAGGGAUCAUUACAGGACUCGCAAGACUCCUUCACCCUGUGAACCUCACUACAAGCACGUUGCUUCGGCGGGUGUCCCGGCGGGGGUUUUCCCUCGCCGGGGCGCACAGCCCGCCGGCAGCCUACUAUACUCUGUCUCUUUGCGUUGGCAUCUCGAGAAAAAACAAACAAAUUAAAACUUUCAACAACGGAUCUCUUGGUUCUG
rnacentral:misc_RNA from 1 species